CGGAGAUGGUGGCGAAAUACAAGAAACUAUCUUUAGAGAAAAUGUUCCGUAUUCUCGAUCUCUACGACUCUAUUUCUGAACUUUUGAGUGAAAUUGAAGUGAUUUUUGGCUUCGAUUCUAUGGUUGCUGUUAAAUCUCAGGCGCUGACCUCCAUGGCCAAGCUCCGAGAUGCUGCUCGAGCCAUGCUGGCGGAGUUCGAAUCGGCGAUUAAGAAAGAUUCAUCUAAAGUAGUGGCUGGUGGCGGAAUCCAUCCUCUGACACGCUACGUUAUGAACUACCUUAUUUUCCUCAGUGAUUACAGUGGACCCAUCUCAGAUAUUAUCGCCGAUUGGAAGGCAGUGGUAAAGUCACCGUUGCCGGAAUCUUACCUCUUGAGUCCAAUCGCCGACGAUGGGGACUCACCGUCUUGUAUCGUUUCCGUACGACUCACAUGGCUUAUCCUCGUUCUCCUCUGCAAACUCGACGGCAAAGCAGGGUUCUACGGUGACGUUCCGUUAUCCUAUUUGUUCUUAGCAAACAACCUGAACUACGUCGUUUCAAAGGUCCGACAAUCCAGCCUGAAGCUCCUAUUAGGACCCGAUUGGCUUUCAAACCACGAAGCUAAGGUAGAACAAUACAUGGCGAAUUUCAAGAGAAUGGGUUGGAG
rnacentral:misc_RNA from 1 species